GACGAACGCUGGCGGCGCGCCUAACACAUGCAAGUCGAACGAGCGAGAGAGAGCUUGCUUUCUCGAGCGAGUGGCGAACGGGUGAGUAACGCGUGAGGAACCUGCCUCAAAGAGGGGGACAACAGUUGGAAACGACUGCUAAUACCGCAUAAGCCCACGACCCGGCAUCGGGUAGAGGGAAAAGGAGCAAUCCGCUUUGAGAUGGCCUCGCGUCCGAUUAGCUAGUUGGUGAGGUAACGGCCCACCAAGGCGACGAUCGGUAGCCGGACUGAGAGGUUGAACGGCCACAUUGGGACUGAGACACGGCCCAGACUCCUACGGGAGGCAGCAGUGGGGAAUAUUGCACAAUGGGGGAAACCCUGAUGCAGCGACGCCGCGUGGAGGAAGAAGGUCUUCGGAUUGUAAACUCCUGUUGUUGAGGAAGAUAAUGACGGUACUCAACAAGGAAGUGACGGCUAACUACGUGCCAGCAGCCGCGGUAAAACGUAGGUCACAAGCGUUGUCCGGAAUUACUGGGUGUAAAGGGAGCGCAGGCGGGAAGACAAGUUGGAAGUGAAAUCCAUGGGCUCAACCCAUGAACUGCUUUCAAAACUGUUUUUCUUGAGUAGUGCAGAGGUAGGCGGAAUUCCCGGUGUAGCGGUGGAAUGCGUAGAUAUCGGGAGGAACACCAGUGGCGAAGGCGGCCUACUGGGCACCAACUGACGCUGAGGCUCGAAAGUGUGGGUAGCAAACAGGAUUAGAUACCCUGGUAGUCCACACUGUAAACGAUGAUUAAUGGGUGUUGGAGGAUUGACCCCUUCAGUGCCGCAGUAACACAAUA
rnacentral:rRNA from 1 species